rnacentral:lncRNA from 1 species
CGGGCUAGACACUGAUGAUCUACUGCAAGUUGCACGACCGCGAGGUAGGAGCACGCGUCCGCGCGAGAGGUUGGCUGGACAAGGCAGACAUUCUGUAAGUCUCGCGCCCGUGAGAGACAUAGGCUGGAGAAGCGCUCGGCCGCGCGCGAUGCUGAUGCUGUAAUUUUGUUUUAAUUUUAAUUUUUAAUUAAAUGAAUUGUAAUUGGUUUUUAAACGAUUCUGACUGGUGUCAGAUGAACAACUUGAUAACUUUAAGUAUUUUUUUCAUCAUAGAAACUAGGGUUUACACCUUGGGAGAGAUUCCAACGUAGAACGAAG